rnacentral:misc_RNA from 1 species
UCUCCGUUGGUGAACCAGCGGAGGGAUCAUUACAGGACUCGCAAGACUCCCGUAACCACUGUGAACCUUACCACUCUGUUGCCUCGGCGGGUGCUCCCUCCCCCCGCGGGAGGGCGCGCACGCCCGCCGACGGCCCACAACUCGCUGUCUGAUCUUUGCAUCUCCGAGUACCACACAAACGAAUCAAAACUUUCAACAACGGAUCUCUUGGUUCUGGCAUCGAUGAAGAACGCAGC